rnacentral:rRNA from 1 species
UACGUAGGGGGCUAGCGUUGCUCGGAAUUACUGGGCGUAAAGCGCACGUAGGCGGCUUUCUAAGUCGGGGGUGAAAUCCUGGAGCUCAACUCCAGAACUGCCUUCGAUACUGGAAAGCUCGAGUCCGGGAGAGGUGAGUGGAACUGCGAGUGUAGAGGUGAAAUUCGUAGAUAUUCGCAAGAACACCAGUGGCGAAGGCGGCUCACUGGCCCGGUACUGACGCUGAGGCGCGAAAGCGUGGGGAGCGAACGGG